rnacentral:sRNA from 1 species
CUUCGUCCAAACUAAACCUCGGCGCAAACCUUUCCUCCCUAUCAUGUCCCUCGGUCUGAACUGGGCGAUAACCUCCUGAUCGACUAGGUCGACGUCGCGAGGAGUCCCAGUUCGGUCCUGGGUGCUCGGCUGAAUUCCUUGGUGGAAGGCUGAUAGAUUGGUAAUCGAAGGAUGGCAAGGGGAAUUGGGAAAGGCCGCGGCGUUUGAGGUACAAGCGGUUAUACAGCGUAAGACCCCCGAACCAUGUUAAGAUGGCGAUGACAACGCUACUCGCUGUGUCAGUUGUGAAAGGGAAGAGGGGAACGGUAGAUGACCCACAUAGCUCCAAAAGCAAAAUAAUAGUUUCUUGUGAUAAAUAAGUCAGAGUCACACGGUGCGCAUCUCACUCGUAUAGCAGUGGAAGCCGUUUGUCCCGGGUUGUUAGGGCAUAUUGAUCCAUCCGUCAUGAUGAUCAUGGGCUCAUCCGUCAUGGGCGACAAUGUCAAGGUUGUAUUCACUUCUCUACCCGCCCAUGCAUCAGCCCGGAACCGCACAUGCGAGAUAAUACUUGUGAUCGAGACCCCAAAGACUCACCCCAUAGAGAAAUCGACAUAGCCAUCCCUCAUCAAUGCCCCAACAUUUUCAGGUUCAUCUAUCCUAUACGUUUGGCUCACUACUUUGCGGCAAACAUUGAGGAUGUAAGUUAUAUCUCCAACAUUCGCGACAUAAUCCCCUUUGGCAGAGGCAAGUUGGGUGAGGUCGUAGUACGUUCCGUCCUCAAGAGUGAGAGUACAGGGUUUAUCUUUCAUGCUGGAGUCACUGAUGCAGUAAUCUCAGAGCGGGUUCGGUAUUGCAUGGUUUGACACAGCAGCGGCGGAUAAAUAAACAAAAUGACGCAUUGUUGAUUUGCUUGGCGAUUCGGCGGCGAUAUCCUUCCCCUUUCUUGUGCAACCAGCAAUCCUUCACGUAUACACUGUACAGUGCCGAACGCAAAACCAUGUAUUCACUCUCAGUGCACUCUUCCUGCUUACUGAGACGUCGCCCACUGCCCUCUCCCUGACAACUCUCCCUCUGAAAAUACACGACCUUUUCAUAUAAAACCCUUUUGCAAACAAUCAUCAUUCUGAACCGCACCAAAGCCAUUCUGAUAGAAUACCCAUGCAUUGCUGAUGCACCCGCAAGUCCUGCAGGACCGUUAAGCAUGCGGUUCCCUCCCCUCGUUCUUGCUCUACAUCCCGACAAUUACUCUAUUCGUCGUCGCCAGCAGCCUCGAGGUACUUGUGUCGGAUGUCCUUCCAUUGCUUCUGCAAAUCAUCGGGGUUGACCGUCAGCUGAUGUACAUCACAAACAAACCAAUCCGGCAACGGGGAUGCCUAGACAUAAUUUCGCUCUUCUCUCGCAAAGACCAUUGUUGUAGGAGAAAAAAAAACCAAAAGACUCACUCCUCGGUUGUGGGAGUCCCAGAAGGCAGUGGUGGCGAGGUCGAAGCCCAU